UCUAUGUUUUCAGUCUUCGAGUCUUCGAUCUUUGUCCAUUCUUCUCUAAUCUUUCAAGACUCCAACUUACUUCACGAAAUAUACCAACAUAAAAUCCGUAACAAUCUCCCCCUUUGGUAAUUUUGUGACAAAACUCAAAAAUACAUCAAAAUACUCACAACGCUUAACUCUCCAACCAAAAAAAAAUGAAAUUCAUUGCCAUCACCAAAACAAUGAACUUCUCAUGUGAAAAAUCCAAAGA
rnacentral:lncRNA from 1 species